rnacentral:misc_RNA from 1 species
GAUGAAGAACGUAGCGAAAUGCGAUAAGUAAUGUGAAUUGCAGAAUUCAGUGAAUCAUCGAAUCUUUGAACGCACAUUGCGCCCGCCAGUAUUCUGGCGGGCAUGCCUGUUCGAGCGUCAUUUCAACCAUCAAGCCCCAGGCUUGUGUUGGGGACCUGCGGCUGCCGCAGGCCCUGAAAACCAGUGGCGGGCUCGCUGUCACACCGGGCGUAGUAGAUUUUAUCUCGCUCAGGGCGUGCUGCGGGUUCCGGCCGUUAAAAAGCCUUUUUUACCCAUGGUUGACCUCGGAUCAGGUAGGAAGACCCGCUGAACUUAAGCAUAUCAAUAAGCGGAGGA